AUGGCGACCCUCUCCAUGGUCUCCGGCCCCGUAGCCACCUCGUCCCUCCCCCUUUCCACCCGCCGCCGCGCCUCCUCCGUCUCCUUCCCCGCCCCCAAGAAGGGCGGCAUUGGCCAUGGUGGCCUGCGGAUCGAGUGCAUCCGUAUCGGUGGUGUUGAGAUCCCAAACCACAAGAGGGUGGAGUACUCGCUGCAGUACAUCCAUGGCAUCGGACGGAAUCGCUCCCGCCAGAUCCUUUUGGACCUCAGUUUUGAUAACAAGGUCACCAAGGACCUCUCCGAGGAGGAGGUCAUCACGCUCCGAAAGGAGGUCACCAAGUACAUGAUUGAAGGAGACCUUAAACGGUUCAACCGUGUGGCAAUCGAGAGGAUGAAGGAGAUCCGGUGCUACAAGGGCAUCCGGCACAAGCUCGGCCUCCCGGUCCGUGGCCAGAGGACAAAGAACAACUGCAGGACACUCAAGGGGAAGAGGGCUUCCGUCGCCAAGAAGAAGUCGGCUUCGUCCUCCGACGAAUAA
rnacentral:rRNA from 1 species